AUUGAACGCUGGCGGCAGGCCUAACACAUGCAAGUCGAACGCUGUAGCAAUACAGAGUGGCAGACGGGUGAGUAACGCGUGGGAACGUGCCUUUCGGUUCGGAAUAACUCAGGGAAACCUGAGCUAAUACCGGAUACGCCCUUAGGGGGAAAGAUUUAUUGCCGAAAGAUCGGCCCGCGUCCGAUUAGCUAGUUGGUGAGGUAAUGGCUCACCAAGGCGACGAUCGGUAGCUGGUCUGAGAGGAUGAUCAGCCACACUGGGACUGAGACACGGCCCAGACUCCUACGGGAGGCAGCAGUGGGGAAUAUUGGACAAUGGGCGCAAGCCUGAUCCAGCCAUGCCGCGCGAGUGAUGAAGGCCCUAGGGUUGUAAAGCUCUUUCGCCAGGGACGAUAAUGACGGUACCUGGAUAAGAAGCCCCGGCUAACUUCGUGCCAGCCGCCGCGGUAA
rnacentral:rRNA from 1 species